GACGAACGCUGGCGGCGUGCCUAACACAUGCAAGUAGAACGGUGAAGGAGGACUUUGCUUCUGUGUAUGAGUUGCGAACGGGUGAGUAACGCGUAAGUAACCUGCCUGGUAGGGGGGGAUGACUAGUGGAAACGGUAGCUAAUACCUAAUAAUAGUAGAUGUUGCAUGGCAUUUGUUGAAAAGGUGCAAUUGCAUCAAUACUAGAUGGGCCUGCGUUGUAUUAGGGAGGUGGGGGGGUAAAGGCUCACCAAGGCGACUAUACAUAGCCGACCGGAAAGGGGGGUCGGCCCACCUGGGACCGAGACACGGCCCAGACUCCUUCCGGGAGCAGCCGGAGGGAAACUUCGGACAUGGGCGGAAGUCUGACCGAAACACGCCGCGUGAGUGAAGAAGGUUCUCGGGUCGUAAAGCUCUGUUGUGAGGGAAGAAAGAGUAUGAGGGUGGAAAGUUGCCACUGUGACGGUACCUUACCAGAAAGCACCGGCUAACUACGUG
rnacentral:rRNA from 1 species